rnacentral:rRNA from 1 species
AGCAGCCGCGGUAAUUCCAGCUCCAAUAGCGUAUAUUAAAGUUGUUGCAGUUAAAAAGCUCGUAGUUGAAUUUCGGGAUUCAUCCGUUGGUCGGGCUUCACGGUCCGUACUGGUGUGAUGGGUUCCUACCUUCUGAAUAACCGGCAUGCCAUUAAUUUGGUGCGCCGGGGAAGCAGAACUAUUACCUUGAAAAAAUUAGAGUGCUUAAAGCAGGCAAGUGCCUGAAUAGGUUAGCAUGGAAUAAUAAAAUAGGACGGCAUGGUUCUAUUUUGUUGGUUUCUAGGAUCACCGUAAUGAUUAAUAGGGAUAGUUGGGGGCAUUAGUAUUCAAUUGUCAGAGGUGAAAUUCUUGGAUUUAUUGAAGACUAACUUCUGCGAAAGCAUUUGCCAAGGAUGUUUUCAUUAAUCAAGAACGAAAGUUAGGGGAUCGAAGACGAUCAGAUACCGUCGUAGUCUUAACCAUAAACUAUGCCGACUAGGGAUCGGACGAUGUUAAUUUUUAAUGACUCGUUCGGCGCCUU